GGGAAUUGUUCGCAAUGGACGAAAGUCUGACGACGCAACGCCGCGUGGAGGAUGAAGGUCUUCGGAUUGUAAACUCCUGUUGCCCGGGACGAAAUGUUCCAACCUAAUACGUUGGAAUUUGACGGUAACGGGUGAGGAACCCCCGGCUAACUCUGUGCCAGCAGCCGCGGUAAUCCAGAGGGGGCAAGCGUUGUUCGGAAUUACUGGGCGUAUAGGGCGCGUAGGCGGCCUGCUAAGUCGAACGUGAAAUCCCUGGGCUCAACCCAGGAACUGCGUCCGAUACUGGUUGGCUUGAAUUCGGGAGAGGGAUGUGGAAUUCCAGGUGUAGCGGUGAAAUGCGUAGAUAUCUGGAGGAACACCGGUGGCGAAGGCGGCAUCCUGGACCGAUAUUGACGCUGAUGCGCGAAAGCCAGGGGAGCAAAC
rnacentral:rRNA from 1 species